GUGAGGAAUAUUGGUCAAUGGACGAGAGUCUGAACCAGCCAAGUCGCGUGAAGGAAGACGGUUCUAUGAAUUGUAAACUUCUUUUGUGCAGGAAUAAAGUGGGUUACGUGUAACCUUUUGUAUGUACUGUACGAAUAAGGAUCGGCUAACUCCGUGCCAGCAGCCGCGGUAAUACGGAGGAUCCGAGCGUUAUCCGGAUUUAUUGGGUUUAAAGGGUGCGUAGGUUGAUUGAUAAGUCAGCGGUGAAAGUUUGCAGCUUAACUGUAAAAUUGCCGUUGAAACUGUCGGUCUUGAGUGCAAAUGAGGUAGGCGGAAUGUGUUGUGUAGCGGUGAAAUGCUUAGAUAUAACACAGAACUCCGAUUGCGAAGGCAGCUUACUGGGAUGCAACUGACACUGAUGCACGAAAGCGUGGGUAUCAAACAGGAUUAGAAACCCUUGUAGUCC
rnacentral:rRNA from 1 species